UCUCCGUUGGUGAACCAGCGGAGGGAUCAUUACCGAGUUUACAACUCCCAAACCCCAUGUGAACCUUACCAAACGUUGCUUCGGCGGGAUGCCCCGGGCGCGGGCCGCAAGGCCUCAGCCCCGGAGCCAGGCGCCCGCCGGAGGCCCAAACCAAACUCUUGUUUUUGUAGAAUCUUCUGAGUGGCCUUUUAGGCAAAAAAUGAAUCAAAACUUUCAACAACGGAUCUCUUGGUUCUG
rnacentral:misc_RNA from 1 species